CAGCCGCCGCGGUAAUACCGGCGGCCCGAGUGGCGGCCACUAUUAUUGGGCUUAAAGCGUCCGUAGCCGGGUUGGUUAGUCUCCCGGGAAAUCUGGCCGCUUAACGGUCAGAAUUCCGGGAGAUACUGCCAGCCUAGGGACCGGGAGAGGCCGAGGGUAUUCCCGGAGUAGGGGUGAAAUCCUAUAAUCCCAGGAGGACCACCAGUGGCGAAGGCGCCCGGCUGGCACGCGCCCGACGGUGAGGGACGAAAGCUGGGGGAGCAAAGGGGAUUAGAUACCCCCGUAGUCCCAGCUGUAAACGAUGCGGGCUAGAUGUUGGGCGGGCCUCGAGCCCGCCCAGUGUCGUAGGGAAGCCGUUAAGCCCGCCGCCUGGGGAGUACGGCCGCAAGGCUGAAACUUAAAGGAAUUGGCGGG
rnacentral:rRNA from 1 species